ensembl:lncRNA
GAUCCCCGGGGCCAGACGCGAGCCAGCCUGGGCCCAAGGAAGCCAUGAGGUCAUGGAAAGAGGCAGGAGGCCUCAGUUUCCACCUCGGCUCUUUACUCCCUAGCUGUGAUACUGAUGAAGAAACUGAAGGCAGCAUGGGUAGACUGACUUGUCCAAGAUCACGUGGUCUGAAGGCAAAUUUGAACUCAGGACUGGUACCAUCUUACCUGGAGGAGGAAGUUGGGUAUUUGAGAAGCGUUUGGAGGCAAAACUUGGGAAAAGACCAGGAUGGAUUGUGGAAAGCUUUGAAUGCCGGCCUGGUGAGUUUAUAUCUCUCCUGUAGAUAAGAGGAAACAACUCUCAGCUUUGCCCCUUAAAAGCUGCCUGAACUGGGACAAGCCCCUUAACUGUCCCCCUCGGAGGAACAAAGGGUUGGGAUGAAGCGACUUCUGAGGUCCCUUCCAACUCAAAAUCAACCGUUUUAUCCCAGGAAGAUUAUCUAAGAGUCAGCCCACACUGGAGGAGAUACUGGACAAGGUAAAUGAGGACGCCCUUCCUCCAGAAGCCUAAGGAGACAGAACAAUAAUCGGCAUUAACAUGGAUGUGGCACUUCAAGGAACACUUUAUAAUACUCCUCAGAGGCAGGUGCCCCUUUUACAGAUGGGGAAACUGAGGCAGACGGUCACAUAGCUAGAUUUGAACUCGGGGCUCCCCCACUCCAAGGCCAGGGCUCUAUCCACUGCCCCAUCUCAGCCAAGCAAGCCAAGACAGCGAGCUUGUCUGUGACCUAUCUGUUGAUCCAGGAUUGGACCGGACCACCAAACAGGCUGAGAAACCGAGGCUCCGGACCCUCGGCCGGGCCAGGAAAUGCGUGUUUUGGGUGUGGGGCUGCUGCCUAGAGAACAAGAAAGCCCAGGAAAGGCUGCUUCCCAUCUGGAGCCCGCAGGCCCCGCCGCCCGGCCUCCCUCCCUCCCACCAUCCGGGAGAGAGAGUGGCUAAUGAGAUGCAGACAAGCCCCGGCCUCGCCUGGUUUUAUUAGCUUUUCUUGGAAAUUUCUAAGGUUCCAUUAUCCCUCCCUAAUCCCAUUUGCCACACUCUGCUUAUAUUUUGACAGGCCCAGUGUGGGCUGAUUUAGCCAACAUCCGCUGGAGUGGAGGAGGCCAGGCCAGAGUGAGCUCCUCCUGAAAUCCGGGGGCCCGGGGCCUCUGCCAAGCCAGCCCGACUCCCCGGGGAGUGCGGGAGCCCCGACCCCUCUCACCCACGGCUCCGGGCGGCUCGGCCCCCUUCCUGCUCCGGGCUCCGGUGGAGGAGCGGGGGGCUCUCUCAAAAAAAUCUGAAUGCAUCGAGGUUCUCCCAUCCCCCACCGGGUCCAAGCAGCUGAAAUAUCCAGGAUAAUUGCUAUUCCAGCUCUGUGCAUUAAUCCCUGUCCUCCUCCACCUCCUGUUUCUAGGUCUGACUAACAGCCUCAGUUGAGCUCUCUUAAAAGGCCCGUGAUGUAUUUUAUUAACCGGUGGUAAUUUCCUAGCACUGGGUUCAGGAUAUAUAGUAGGUGUUUAAUAAAUGCUUGUUGAUCAGUUGAUUGAGUCUUUUUUUUCCUGUUGGACGAGGAUGGGCCCCAGACUUAGAGGGAGAAAGGCUCUGAGAGGUCCUAAACUCCAACCCGUGAUUUUUUUUAUUCAUUCAUUUGUUUGUUUAUUUCCUCUACUGAGCACUGGGGUUACCAAUAAAAGGCAAACCCUCC